UUUUUUAAUCUCUGUUUAGGUUCCACCUAAUCCUAGUUGAGUCAAAUGAAGACAUUGGUUAUGAUUUCAACCUUCUAAAACGACGCCCUUGCUUACCAUUUUCCUUCCAUUUCCAAGCUUAUGCUGCAUGCAUUCCUGUCUAAUACUUUUUCUUUUCGGGAUGCAAUCAAUCCUUGUUAUUUCAGGCAGCAGAAGAGUGUACCUCGGUGCUUGAGCUUGAUCAAAAGCACAGUGGGGCAUUGAUGCUGCGGGCUCAAACGCUAGUCACCCUGAAGGAGUACCAUUCAGCUCUUUUUGAUGUCAACAGACUGUUAGAGUUGAAUCCAUCUUCAGAGGUUUAUCAAAAUCUUCAAGCUCGCUUGAAGACACAGUUGGUAGGCACUGUUAUCUCUUCUCUUUUUUUUGCAAUUUCACUUGCAUGGGUAACAUGGUUUUGUGGUACCAGGAGAAUUACUAAUUAUGGCUAUGGGCAUAUGGUUCCAACUUCAUAAUAAUAAUAAUAAUGUUAAUAUGGCUGUUAUUGCUGUUAUUCUUUUUUUUUUUAUACUUUUCUGCUUAGGAUUUUCCCUUUUUUUUUCUACACACGCCUUUUUCUACAUAUGCAUUGCACUGUGGUAACAUGGUUAGGAUUUUCCUAGUUGGAGGGACACUCAUGAAGUGUAUGUGCAAGUUAAGAUUAUAGCAGAGUUAGAAAGUGUUCAUUUUAUGAAUGUUGCAAGAGAAAGUGGAAGUAGAGUAAAAAGGAGUAGAGAAAGAUGAGUUAGACUAAUCUAGUAUAUUUGGCCUAGAAUUUUAUUGUUGUAUAGACGAAGUAUUUUAUCAGCUGGUAGUAAGAUUUUCUUUUCUCUAUAUUCUUGCUCAAGGAAAGUCACUUGCUCCAAUACCAGAAUCAGAAGAGGAGUUUGAAGAACAAGAAGACGAGGAGCCUGAACUGAUAAUUGAAGGGGAGAAGGAAAAUGAAGAGAUAGGAGAGAAAUAUUCUUCGAUUUCUAAUAUUAGGACAGAACAGAAGGAUGAACUUGGUAAAGGUAUUCUUAGUACUGAAUGCGCUGCUCAUGAAGCAGACCUCAAGUUUUCAAUGAAGCAAGGGAGAAACCAAAACCAUGACUCUAAGAAGUUCACAGCCGAUGUUAUAGCUCCUAAAGCACCAAGCAGGGAAUCAAAUGAGCGACAUUCAAAAGGAUGGCAAACAAUUCCAAAACCAAAAGGACAUUCAGCUCUAGACUAUGCUCGGUGGGAUAGUGUUGAAGAUGAUUCUAGUGAUGAUAAUAGUGACAAUGAAGAAGAAGAAUCUUUGCCUCAAUACCGCUUUCGUGUAAGAACAGUUGGUGUCCGUCCUGUAAAGUGACAUGUUUCCACUCUCUACAUUACCUAUAAAUGACUGUUUUGAUCCCUUGAACAUAACAAUGGUAUUUGACGGGAAAGAAUCAGUGGGUUGCAAUGGCUCUAUCAUGUUGUACGCCAGGAAGAUCUAUGAAUCCUAUAGAAGUACUGAUCUAUACUAUGAGUUGGUUUGAAUGUCAGUGAUGAUGGGCUAUUUGAACUCUGAAUUUUACACGGAACCCUCCUUUUGAAGCUGCUAACGUCCUGUUGUGAUAGCAAGUUUAAAGGUUCGUGUUUCCAUAUUGGACGAAAAGUGUGCGGAGUGUUUUUCUGCUGUUGAGGCUCAUACAGUGAGUAAAAUCCAUUCCAGCUGGAGCAGGCUGAUUACUUUUCUUGGUGAUACUAUUUCCACAUCUAUAAAUAAUAUUCAAAUUUCCUGAUAAUUAAUUAUUGUACCAUUUCGCUAUUCUGUAAUUUAAUACCAAAAUAAAGUCAUUCUAGGGGGCUCGAACCUGUGCUUUAUGCUCUGCCUUUUGUUUUAUUGUGUAAUAUGAUUAAUUUGUUUCACCAAUAGUUUUAUAUUCAUGUCUUCUUAUACACUAAAUUUUCUGCAAAUUCCACACCCCAUAUACAUUUAUUUCCUUAGAUUUCUCUGUUUCUAGAGUGCAAUUUGAUUUUAUAUUCAGUUUGAGCUCGAUAAUUUUGAGCUGAUGAUAGAAUUUGUUUAAGCAUUCUGCAGGACCUUUCCAAGUUUCCACUAACCGUUGGCGAAUCUAAUUUGGGGCAAAAGGCAGCCUAUAAAUUCAUUAUUGUAGUUUUGACCGUUUAUGUAGUUGCCUCCUAAUGGAUUUCACCGAUCAUGUAUUUCUUAUCAUCGAACGCAUGAACGUGAACAUGAUAUGAAAAUACUGUUUUGUUUGUUUUGUUCUACAUAGAUAGCUGUCAGUUCCUACCUACCUAUAUAUAUAUAUAUAGGAGAGCCGUACGACCAAGAUCAUAUAUCGGACUUGGUCAUUAGACCGACCGACACCAUAUAGCCAAUUACACUUAAGCAGAAUUAGUGAAGUUAAUCAACAAUCAAGAGUGUGGUAAUACACUUCUAAACAUAAUCCAACUCUCUAAUCUGACCUAAUAAGAAAGACCCACCAAAAUAAUAUAAAUAGCACAGAUCUAAAAACCAGUUACAUCAUUGUACAGUACUAAACUUACUGAGUACCAAAUACUAAAUCUGACUAGAGUAUCAGAGUGCCUUCUGCAGGUACCAUCUGAUUCAGGACUACAUGGGGAUCGAGGAGUGGAAUGAGUAGAGGGAAGGAAGGAGAUUGUUUGAGUUAAUAUUUAUGGAGGAGGUAAGAAAACAGAGUUCAAUAUUUUCAUGCAUUGUAUUACAAUAGCAGUUUAUAUAUAUAUUAUUUUCGAAGGCGAUUGAGAUCGAGAGAACUAUUGCUCUUCUAUUUUCUUGGUUGGUUCGUUUCCCCUUAUUCUGCUUGAACCAUAUCAGAAAACAGAACACGUGUACACAAACACAUAAAAUUGGGUGACUGUAGUAACACUCAGGUCCUCACUAUCAAUACGCUCUAAUUUUUGUUGGCAGUUACUCAAAUUCGAACGUAAAUCUAUUUGAUACAAAUCAUUCCUAUUGUGGAUAAAUUUUUAAACUACAAGCACAUUGCAUUGGAAUUCAAUUAUCUGUUUGGUACUAAAGUAAAUGUGCCGUUCCUAUUUUAUACACAGAAUAAUUCAAUAAAACUCCAGUGUCUAUGAAACUCUGCUUUGAUCUUAUAUAUUUAUGUUUGUCGAAAUCAUAUUUGCUUUUCACAUGUACUAGUUGUAUAUGGCGUAUUUGGUAGUUUCAUUCCAUUUUAUUAAAUUCCUGUAUACAUCUUGAAAGAUUGACGCUUUCAACAUGACAAUUACUAAGAACCUGAGAAUCAUAGUACAAAGAGAUACCCACCUAAGAUUUAAACUUGAAAAAAAUAAUAAACUGGCUAAAGUAUGGUUAGGAAAAAGAAAUAUAUUGCGUACCAAGUUAAUGCUCGUUUGAGUAACGCAAGCUUUUAUCCAUAAAUUGUGAUGCACAUUCUCUCAAAUGCAUUCGAUUAAUAAAAGUAAAAUAUGAUAACAUCUCAAAUUAUUUCUAGAUCCUCUAUUAUAUACUUAAUAACUUUCUAUUUUUCCCUUUUGCCAAGUUUAUAUAUAGGAUGAAAAAUGGGUCAAGUUCAACCUGAACCAACUCUAUUCUACUCAACUUUUAGAAUAUGACUAGUUAUAUAUUUAUAUUUGUUUUAUCUUGAUCAAAAUUUACAAAGUACCUAUAUAAAAAGAAGUUUACAAUCGUCUCGAUCAAGUUAGAUGUUCAAAUUACACCAACCAAAAGAUUAAGAUAGUUGUUUUUGGUGAGAAUAAUUUUUUAAACUUAUCUUUGGUGGAUGAAGUUAGAUGUUCAAAUUACACCAACCUAAACAUAUAAAAUUUCUGAAUUUUUUUAAAUUACACUAGCAAAAUUUGGUGAUUUCAAUUUAGAUAAUGAUAAAGCUUAUAAUUUGAGUACACAAUUGAUUAAUCAAAGUAUGAAAUCCAAUAUUCAUAGUUAUUAAAACUUAAUUUUCAUAAUUAAAAAUACAAAAAAAAAAUAAAAGUAUACAUUUUUAAUAAAUUUUAUUUAUAAAAUAGAGAUGUCAAAAUGGUUCUGGCCAACCACAUAAUCUAUUAUUCAGGUCAAGUUAAGCUUCAAGGGUUGAUUAGUAAAAAGAUAUAUUGUAUAUAACUAGAUCAUAUGCUUAAAACCUUCUUAUUUGAGAAAGAGCUUUUCAACAAUGGGUUGUUGAGGUUAAUACCCGAGUAUCUCAUUUCAUACUAUUUCUUCCUGCACCUCCAUAUCUUCUUCUCCCACCUCCAUACACAACAUGAAAAUAUAUUUUUAUCCUUAUUGUGUCACUCCUAUAGAGUAGUUUCUGUAUUAUGUAAUUCGGAAAUUUAUUUGAAAAAAAACUUCUGGAUCACAUAAUCCAGAAGCUAAAUAAGACUUCCAGAGUGUAUUCCGAAAAGUAAUCAUGCAUUUGAAAAAAGUCUUUCAAAUUAUAUAAUCCAGAAGCUAAUUACAAAUUUGAAAAAUGACUUCCGAAUUACGUAAUCCAAAAUAUUAUAGAGAGACAUUUUUAGAAAUUCAAAAAUAUAUGGAGGUGAGAGAAGAAGGUAUGGAGGUGCAGGAAGAAACAAUCCUGUGUCAUUGUCUUUUCUUCUAAAUUGGGAGGUGGAGCAAACUUCCUUCGACUGAACUCAAUUCGUUUACACUAAUAAAUGGUAGGAAAAUUAGUCAACAAAAUCACUAUUCAUUAAUUUGAUGGAAGUAUGGUCUUAGAAGGAAAUUUACUUCCUACACCCCUCCUUUUUGACAUGCACUUCCACAAUUUUCAAAAUGAUUAUUUUAUUCUUCUUUAAAGUGACUUUUGGAAUGCCCAUUUUGGAAAAUUUCCUAUAGCACACCUUUGAAAUUCAUGAAAUAUAUUCUUGAACAUGUUUUAUGGAACAUGACAAAAUUUUCAGAACAAGAUUUUUGGAUUAAAUUUCCAGAAUGCAUGAAAUACAUUCCAGAACAGAAUUUUCAAAACAAACUUUCUACAGAAAUGAGUUUUCUAGAACAAGCUUUCAGAACACACAUGUCUUCCAAAAAGAGCUUUCUGGAACAAGAAUUUUUUUACUCUUCUUCUUUUAACUACAACGUUCUCCUUCUCUUCUUCUUUUUCUCAUGCAAUGGUGAUGAUGUAGCAGCGACAACAAUGAUGGUAACAACGAUGGUGGGAUGCAGUGAGGGAGAAGCGGAUGGAGAGCAAUUCGAUCAUUUCACCCAAUUAUGGGGUGCAGGUUCAAAAAUGGGAGGUGCAGGAAGUAAUAAUCUCUUAAAAGACUUUACUCUCCUCUCUCCCCUUGUGCAACAUUCAUUUGACCAUGUGAAAAGCAUUUUGAAUAUUUUCUUACUUACUCCUUGUCCUUUUAAGCCACCUUUCACCUAUAAAUAAAAGCUCAUCCCUUUCCAUUCUCAUAGUUCAUUUUCUCGGCUAAACAAUAGUGUUAAGAGUUAAGCUUUCUUUUUUUUUCUUUUUCUUUUCCUCCUUUUGUAACGCCAUGUUCCAAUGCCAUAAUUUAUUCAACCUCCUUAUGUCAUAGACAUUUAAAAAACUACAAAAUCAAUUGGUGGAGUUCUCCUUGGCUUCAUUCUUGUUCUUCAGUUUGGAUGAGAAUUUGAUGGAGAAGGAUGCAAUAAAAGUGGAUUUGUUCGGUGAGAAAUGACUGUGAGUUGUGUAUGCAAGGAGAAAAGGAAGCUACGAAAAUGUUAGGCCAACUCCAAGCUAAAUUCCUAAGCUAAUUCACUAUUUAGAGUGAAAGCAAGAGAAGAAAGAUCAAAAAGAGAUUGGCUGGAAAUAAUUCAACGGCAAUUUAAUGCUUUCAAGUCUAAAUUUUACAUAGAAAAACACUCUUAUUUAUAGUUCUUUAGUCACCUAGAAUUGUGUCUCAAGCUUCUAAAACCCUCUCCACUCACACAAUGACACGUGACACUAAUAACUUGUGGAGCAAGCUUCAUAAUCCUCUCCAUUCAUAUAAUGACAUUUGGCAAGGAUAGCUUACAACGCAAGCUUUGAAAUACUCUCCAAUGAGAAGUGGACAAGUGACUAAAGAGACUUAGAGAGCAAGACAAAGUGGUGCCUACUUGGAGUUUCACAUGUGGCACCUUCUUAGAGUCUUGCAAGCUUCAAAAGUGAACGUCCAAUAUGGCUUUGGAUACAAGGCCCAAGGCCCCAAAUUUUAUGCUACUUAGCCCAAAAUAAAUUCCUAAACUACUCUGUACAAAUAUUUACAAGACUUAGAAGAAAGAAUACUGAAGAUUAGAUGUUUCCUUCGAAGAUGUUACAUAUUCUUUAAUCUUAUAAUGUGGUGACUUGGAUGGACCUCCAUCAGAUCCUCCCUCUUUAAAAGGAUAUGUCCUCAAAUCCGAAUGUUGCUCAGGGUGGCUACCUUUAUUUACUAUAUUUUGUAGAUUUUCUUCUAGGAUCAAAUAUCUUUUUGUAAAAACAAUCAAACAGCAAGUGAUAUUUGUACAGAAGAAUUAACAAUAAAUGUAAAAGAGGACAUUCCUUUCAAGGUCAAUGUACCCCUUACAUGUUGAUAGAUAAAUAUAUAUGAUCCAAGGGAUAUUUUUAUUUUUAUCUUUAUUUAUUUGUUUUUCUACCUUAUAAAGUUGCUUAAUAGUUUGAUUUAGCUAUUUUGUUUCAAAUAAUCUUUCACCAGGUUUUCCUCUAGAGGAGUUUAAAUCCAUGUUUGGUUCAACUCUAGAUAGAGGUUUUUUAAUUUUUAGUUGUGUUUGUAGUUGGUUUUCCACUACUUGUGAAUGUAUUGAAAAACUAACCACAAACUUAUUUCCUCUUUGAGUGAAAGUAAUUUUAUUAUAACGACCAUGGUAAACAAGUUUAUGAUCAAAUUGUCCAUAUCAUUCUAAUAAAAUAUCACAAGCUUCUUAGGAUAUAAUGUUACUAAAAACAUUUAUUGCAUAACGUCUUAUAAAGAGCUUGACUUUCAUUUGUUGAUCCACAACUAAAUUCUCAUAUUUUUUUUAAUCCAAGAAGAUUUAGAAAAUUGGGAAUGGGCCUCUAUGUUGAGUUUCAACAUUUUAACCACCAAAGUACUUUUAAAAUUAUAACAACAUCUACUAUCCAUAAGAGAAGAAUUUUUAAAAAUUUGACAAUUUGUUUGAAAAAUAUUCUCUCUAUGGGUAAUAAUAUAACAAGAAUAAGUUAAACCAAUAUGUGAAGUAUUGGGUCUAGACUCUUCUUCUUCAAAAUCCAAAACUUCAUCUUUAAUGGAUAAAGAUGUAGUUUGGUUAAAUCUUCACUUUCAGAUUCCUUUAAAACCAAACUACUUAUUUGGGGCCACUUAGAAGAGUAAUUCCCCUAAUCAUUUAUUGAUGAGGACCUGAGAGAGAGUGCACUCACUGACCAAACCCAACAUUCCAGGAGGAUGACUCAGAGCAUGACUCAAGAUACAGGGCUAGGUCAGGAUCUACCUCUAGCCAAUGCUUAAGCGCCUAGUCUUCCCCAAAGGAUCACAAGGAGUAUAGCCCAAGCCAUGGGAGCUAAGCAUCAACUAGUGUCUUUAUUUUUAAUUUCAGUAGAAUAAGUUUCUUUUAGAUUAAUUGAGGGGUGUGCUUAUCAUUUUAGCUUGUGCCUAGGGAAGGAAAGUUGACCUAACUUCUAGAAGAACAAGCCUAAGGUGCUAUCUUGACUUAGUCAAACCCUAAAGGUUGCCCCUCACACUUUUACCAUCCUACCCUUGUUCAUCUUGUUUUCCAAGGCACCCAUUCCUAUAAAUAGGGUGCCUUACUCCAUGUAUUGGCACAUUGAAAUUUGAAAUAGAAAAGAAACUUUGCACAAAUUGUGAGUGAGACUUGUGUUCUCUCAACCUUGGUCUUAUCUUGUGAGAAUGAGACCUCUUCAUGUGGCGGCCCUCAUCACUCAUCUUGGAGAACCCCCACACUCCAAGUGGCGUGUUCAUUCCAUUUCCAUCUUCAUAAGCUUUCUAUCAUUCAUCUUUUCUCUCAUUUCCAUUACGCCAUUUCUCUUUGAGUUUAUGUUCUUGUUUUCCUUCCAUUUUUUCAAUUCGGUCUCCUUCAUUAUAUUUGCUUCCUUUUAUGUUCUUUCAUUUCCGCAAAGCAUCAUCAUCUUCACCUUAUCUUGUGAUUUUCCUUUUUGUCUUUGGAAGUGAGCCUUCACACUUACUUAACCAAUUGGUUAAGUUCGUGUCCAGUGGGUAUCUUCCCUAGGUCUCACCCUAUAAUUGCUAAAAUUCAAAUCAUAAACAAAGUGUCAUCAUUAAAAUGGAAAAAUCUAAAAUCAACUCACAUAAUUUAUUAUGGAUUAUUUAGACUCGAGCUCUAACAUUGGAUCAAAUGUAGAGAAGACAAAUUCAUGCUUCGUUUCUAAACUCUCCUUUUUUUUCAAACUGCCUAAGACUCAUUAUAUUCAUCACCCGAGGAAGAUGACAUGUCUUAUAAAUAUAUUUUUAAUAGUUGCAACAAGAUCUUUGAGCAACAUUGUGUUUUGAAACAAAAAACCAAAGUUCUCUUUUUGAGAAAAUAAAAGGCUCAAAUUUGAUCUACUUGCAUCUAAUUUGGACAAACAUUUUUAUUUAAAUUAAAAUUGUGGAGGAAAAGGUUGCAUUAUGUAAGCAUGAGACUUUGGAAGAUUUAUUGAGAGUUUGAAAACUCCAAAUCUCCUUUCUUUAUUAUGUUCUAAACACACAUUAGAUAAGUCUGGUGUAGACUAUGCCAUAAAAAUAAUAAUAGAAACUCAUGAACAUGUUAAGAUUACUUGCCUUUAUAGUGGUAAAUCUAGACACAAAAGUGUUAGAUGUAAACAAAAGAGGAAAGCAUCUAGAAAAUAUGGUACCAAAAGAAAUUAUUAUUCUUGUUUCAGGUAUAAUAAACAAGAAGUGGAAACAAAGAAGAUUAACCUUCAACACUAGAUGCUAGACAUACACAAAAGAGGAAAGAUCUAGAAUCCCAUAAGCACCUACUUUCUUUAAAGAAAUCAGAGAUAAUAUUUAUUAGAUGAUCAACAAAUGAUAUAAGAUGAAAGAAAAUCAUCAAUACAAUUAUCUAUGAGUUAAGUUUGGAGAAUCAUACCUAUACACACACAUAUUAAGGAAACAUAGUCUUCAUUCUUCACAUGACAAACAACUUCAAUCUUCAAGAAAGAUUGGAUGCAUCAAAUACAACUUAGUGCAAUCUUUAAUUCCAACCAGCAUACUCAAAUCUUUGCCUUUGCCUCUGAAUAACUAUGAGAGGAUAUGAGAUACCCUUAGGUUCAAAUUUUUAGAAUGUUUAGCUUUAAACUAGAGGGGGGUGAAUGGUUUAAAUGAGGUUUUCGCAAACUUUUAAAGAUAGAAUGAAAUUCUUUGCAAGAAACCAGAUUAGGAAUUCAGUUGCCAAGAACAAAGCUCAAAACAAUAAAACACCCGAAAAACAAUUGGUUGUUUUGCAAAAACAAUCGGUUGUUUCGCAAAAACAAUCGGUUGUUUAUACUAGUAAAUAAAACAACAACUGAAAUUAAAGAGUUUAAGGAAGAGAGAAAUGCACAAACAAUUUAUACUGGUUCACUCUUAACCCAAGAGCUACAUCCAGUUUCCAAGAAACCACACUGAGGAAUCCACUAGGUAAUCAAAUCCAGAUUACAUACACACACCACCAAAGAAAUGACCUUGAUCCCCUCAAGAAACACACUUCCUUUGGCUCAGAAAACACACACCAAGAAUGUACACAAUUCUUUAGAACUAAUUACACUGUUACAGAAUCAAUUGAAAUCAAUACAGAGUAAUCCUAUUCCACUUCUCUCUUGAAUAACCAAAGCUCAAAAGUUUAAACUCAAAUGCUUGAAAGCUCUAUGAAAAACUCAAAUCUGUUUUUCUUUCUUGUUGUUUGUUAUAAAACAUUAGCAAACUAUUUAUUGUGUUUAAAUCUUGGUCAAAGCAUUUAAAGCAGGAGCGUAUUCAGUUAUGAAAUCAAUUAAAGCUCACUUAACUAACAAAACUGUUUCUGUUAGGAUUUCAAACAAACAAUUGGUUGAAAUAGCGAAUCAAUCCGUUGUUUUGGUUUGACAACAAGUCAACCAUCCAAAACAGUUUUCAAACUUUUUCAAAAACACCUAAGUAUAAAACAAUCGGUUGUUUCGACAAAACAACAUGUUGUUUUUCACUUAGUUUGAGAAACACUUUAACUUUAAAGAUUUGAAAAUACUUAAGCUUUAGAUUCAACAAAGAGUGGAUUACAAAGAUAAUCUACCCUAGAUCCUAUUCUAAAGCACAACAGCAACAACAAGCACCUCCAUCUUUCCAUCAAACACUAGGAUUUGGAUUCUUCAAAGCUUGAACACACUUGAUUCAACAAUCUCCCCCUAUUUGAUGAAGACAAAUCCCUGGUUGCUUGUGUUGCACUUGAUUGAAUCUGAAGCAGUUCCUGCAAAACAAAGUUUAAGCAAAGUACAAAAUCUAUGACAUUAGGUUAGAGCAGUAAAACAAAACAUAUGUUCUGUUUAAUCAAAACAACAGCCAAAACCAACAGAAAUACCAUCAUAUCAGCAACAAAGCAGUAGAAUAAAGAUCACUUAAACAAAACAUAGAGUUUGCAGAAAUAAAGACAACACAGUAUAAAAAUCUCUCCUUAUUUGACUUUACAAAUAGACUAUAAGAAGAGAUAAACCAUAAAUUAUUCCAGUUAAAACAGAAUAUAAAAGCAAAGGCACUUAAACUGAUACAGAGCAAAAACAAUCGGUUGUUUCGAGCAUUCAACCGAUUGUUUUUCUUCUGUCAUCCUUGCCAUACUGAAGCUCAAAGAUCUGGUUCUGAACAACUUCAAUCUAUUCAUCCUGGGUCAUAAAGUGAGUGUCCAUGCUCUGGAAUCUGUUGUCAAUGCUUUGGAAAUUGGUCACACAAAGAUCAUGGAGAUUUCUUUGAUUCUCAGCAAACCAUCAAGCCUAUUCACCAUGUAUCUUUCAAAAGAAGACAUAGAAGGAAUCUCAUCUCCUUGAUGUCCUGCACUUGUUCCAGCUUCAAAGUUAGUUGUAGGAUGCUCUUCAUUGUGAAUAUCCAUAUCAGCAGCUUGCUCUUCUUCAUCAAAAUUAGCAAUUGCAGUCUUGAUGAACCACCAUGAUCACCAUCUUUGCUCACCCAUCUUCCACUUAUUUUUGGUGAAUCCCAUCUUGCAAGAGAACCAUUAUUCAUUUCUUGUGUUGAUUUAACCAACUCUGAGGUCUCAUCUUCAAGAUUCACUUGAAAAUAGAGCAAAAAUUUAGAGAUUAAAACAACAUAGGGAUAGUGGUAGUCACUUAACCUCAUGGAUUUUUGCAUAUGUUCUUUGAUGAUAUGAAUCCAUUUGAUCUUGAUCUUCUUCAUGAUGCAGUAGAUGUACACAAGAUCUUCUUCUGUUAAAACAGAAUGGUUACUCCCCCUUGGAGUUAGAAUCCAAGUAACAAUAAGAGCAAGCACCCUUUCAUCUAACUUCAAGCCUCCAACAGAACAAGUUCUCACUUGGACUUGUUGAUUCUUCAAGAAACUCUUGUAGUAUUGGACUUUGUUGAAAUCUUCCACUACUCCAAGAUUUCCUUCGUUGAUCCUUAGACCAACAUACUUUAAUCCAGUUACUGCAGCCCACACAUCAUGGGUAAUCUCCAUGUCUACACCUUUUACAUGAGAAACAAGGUUGUUUCCUUCAAACUUAAGAUUGGUGUAGAAUACCCGAAUUAAAUAAGGAUAUAUGUUUCCCUUCAUCUCCAAGAAUCUUCUUAGCAACUGAUCUUUGAGAAGCUUUCUCACAUUGUCAAGCUUUUGACUUUUCAGCCAAUCAAAGGAGACAACUUUGGGGUUGUUGAUCACCUUUGUGCUUGUCUCAAAACGAUAUCUUUCAAUGAGCUCAUUAUCUCCUGAAAACCAGCCCUCAAGUCUCCCUCCAGACCUCACAACUCUUGUUUAGAUCCUCUUUGAUGUAGGAGGAGUGGACUCCAUGAUAGCAGAAAAAGGAGGCAAAGGGUCUCACACAAAGAGAGCAAGAGAUGUUGCAAGAGAUGGCUCAAUUGAUUGUUUUUGUGAGAGAGAACUACUGCACCAGAUUUUAUAGAAGUACUGAGCCCUACUGUAAUCAAUUGAUAUGAGUGGGUUUCAGUCUUCAAGAAGAAAAGACUGGACCAAGGCUUGCACAUAAAACGUCAGAAAAAGCAGAAAACCACAUGGUCAUCACAUGUGAUCUUUGACUAGUCAUAAAGGCUCUUGAAUUUUCAAGAUUAUGGAAUAUAUUCCUUUAUGUCAUGUUGUAACUUCCUCCAGAACACAAUCAGGCUUUCAACACAACUUUAUUGACUCAGGAUCCUUUCAUAAUUGAGAUCUGCAACAGAAAGAAUGCAUAAAAAAAUUAAAUCAAUUCUUUAACAGUGCUGUCAGAGAGGAAACAAUCGGUUGUUUCGAGAAAACAAUCGGUUGUUUUUCUGCAGCAUGUAGACAAAUUGAGAUUUUCAAUUAUUGACUGAGAAGGGUUCAAAAUCAGAUGUAAGUAAUCAAAGAAAAGAGAAUUUAAACAUGAAACAGUAAUUACAAAUCAAAGGCAGAGAGAUAAGGAAGGUCUUAUCCUUUUAUGAAGUUCCUCCAAUGAGACAUUUGUUAGUGAUUAAGAGGCUUCUUUUAACUUUUUGGAAAGACUUGGACUGGUACACAACAUUGAUUCAGUUCUAGUUAUAAUCUUUUCCUUCCAAGAACCUGAUCAGAUGACUCAGAGACUCAUGUUCUUCUAGAUUCUCUGCAUAAAAAAGAAUUCAAGCAACAAGGUUUGGUCCCCUUACAAAUGUGGGUCCAUUUGAUUUAUUUUUAUCAUUUGAAACCUCACAACCUUUGGGAAUCCAUUUCAUAAAGUCUCUGGGAACAUAAUAUUUCCUUAUUUUGCAGAAUCUGACAGAAUGACCUCUUUUCAUGCAAUAAAAACAUGUAACAACCGGUUGUUUCGACUUAACAAUCGGUUGUUUUACUGGCAGUUUUGAAAAUUUCUUUGAAAAAUUAUCUUGCUUGUUCUGUGGAUUAAAACAUAAUCCAACUCUUCCAAAAACACAAUUUUGAGAUGCCAAGACAUUCUCAAAGUUGGAUUUUCCUUUUGAAAGCUUAUCCACAUUACUAACAAGAUAAUGUACUUUCUUUUCAAGAUUUUCACAAUUUUCACAAACAAGAGAGGCACACAUAUGAGAAGAGUUUUUGCAAUGUUUUUCAAAAUCAAUUUUUUUAUUUUUCCAGCUUUUCUUCAAGUGUCUUAACCCUAUUUUCAAGCCAGUUGUUAAGCCCUUUCAAACGGUUGUUUGAGAGAACCAAUCGGUUAGCUUCUUCAUGAGUUUCUUGAAAAGCUUCAAGCAAUUUACUAUAAUUUUCAGCACUUAGAGAAGCACAUGAACUUACAUCGCUUGAGCUGCAUGACUCAUCAUCUCCUUCUGCAAUCAAGCAUAUGUUUGGUUUUUUAUCUUCACUUGAUGAGGAGCUUGAUGAGGAUACUUCAUUCUCAUUCCAAGCUAUAUAUGCUCUUCUUUACUUUCCCUUUUUCUCCUUUUGGCUUGAUUUCUUUUCAUUGCUUUCUUUGUUUGGGCAAUCUGCUUUAAUGUGCCCUUGUUCACCACAACCAAAGCAAGUAUAGUUGUUAGACAUGAAAUCACUAGUUUUCUUGUUGCCAUACCUUUCUUUGUUGGCUUCUUUGUUGCGAUUUCUCUUCAAAAAUCUACUAAACUUCUUGGAAAGCAAACUAAGGUUUUCUUCUUCACUUUCAUCACUUGAUUCUUUCUUGCUUUUGUGUUUGGCAGCUUUCAAGGCAAUGCUUCUCACAUGCUUGUCUUCACUCUCUUGAACAUUGAGUUUAUUCAUUUCUAACUCAUGUUCUCUACGCUUACCAAAUAAUGAAGCCGUUGUCAAGGAUGUCAAAUCUUUUGACUCAGAAAUAGCUGUCACCUAGGUUGCCAUGAUCUAUCAAGACGCUUGAGAAUCUUGAUAUUUAGCUCUUCCUUAUCAAAGGUUUUUCCAAGGCUCAUAAGGUGGUUGAUGAUGUGGGUGAACCUUUUUUGUGCUUCAGCAAUUGACUCACCUUUAAGCAUUCUAAACAUUUCAUAUUCCUGAAUUAGAGUAUGCUUUCUAGCUCUCUUCACAUCAUUGAUUCCUUCAUGAGUCACCUCCAAAGUGUCCCACAUCUCCUUGGCCGAUGAGCAUUGAGAAAUCCUAAAAAAUUCAUCCGAAUUCAAGGCAAAUGUUAUGAUGUUCUUAGCAAUACAAUCAAAUUUGGCCUUCUUGUUUUCAGAAUCAGUCCAUUGAGACCAAGGUUUUUCAAUGGAAGAUCCAUCUUUUUCAAAUAUUGGAAUAAAAGGACCAUUUUCAAUUGCAUCCCAAAUUCCCUUGUCAAGAGAUUCAACAAAGAUUUUCAUUCUAACUUUCCAGAAUUAGUAAUUCAAACCACAGAAAAGAGGUGGUUAAUUCAAACCACAGAAAAGAGGUGGUCUGUUGAUUGAAGCACCCUCUCCAAAAGGUAGUUUUUAGCCAUUGAAAAAAGGUUUUAGGAUUAAACUUGAGUAUUUUUCAAGUACCAAGCUCUUGAUGCCAAUUGUUAGAAUGUUUGGUUUUAAACUAGAGAGGGGGGGGGGGUGUGAAUGGUUUAAAGGAGGUUUUCGCAAACUUUUUAAGAUAGAAUGAAAUUCUUUGCAAGAAACCAAAUUAGGAAUUCAGUUUGCCAAGAAUAAAGCUCAAAAUAGUAAAGCACCAGAAAAACAAUCGAUUGUUUCGCAGAAACAAUCGGUUGUUUAUACCAGUAAAUAAAACAACAACUGAAAUUAAAGAGUUUAAGGAAGAGAGAAAUGCACAAACAGUUUAUACUCGUUCACUCUUAACCCAAGAGCUACAUCCAGUUUCCUAGAAACCAUUGGGGAAUCCACUAGGUAAUCAAAUCCAGAUUACAUACACACACCACUAAAGAAAUGACCUUGAUCCCCUCAAGAAACACACUUCCUUUGGCUCAGAAAACACACACCAAGAAUGUUGAUCUUGACAACCUCAAGAGCACACAACCCUUCUUGGCUUUACAACACCAGAAUGUACACAAUUCUUUAGAACUAAUUACAUUGUUACAGAAUCAAUUGAAAUCAAUACAGAGUAAUCCUAUUCCACUUCUCUCUUGAAUAACCAAAGCUCAAAAGUUUAAACUCAAAUGCUUGAAAGCUCUAUGAAAAACUCAAAUCUGUUUUUCUUUCUUGUUGUUUGUUAUAAAACAUUAGCAAACUAUUUAUUGUAUUUAAAUCUUGGUCAAAGCAUUUAAAGCAGGAGCGUAUUCAGUUAUGAAAUCAAUUAAAGCUCACUUAACUAACAAAACUGUUUCUGUUAGGAUUUCAAACAAACAAUCGGUUGAAAUAGCGAAUCAAUCCGUUGUUUUGGUUUGACAACAAGUUAACCAUCCAAAACAGUUUUCAAACUUUUUCAAAAACACCUAAGUAUAAAACAAUCGGUUGUUUCGACAAAACAACAAAUUGUUUUUCACUUAGUUUGAGAAACACUUUAACUUUAAAUAUUUGAAAAUACUUAAGCUUCAGAUUCAACAAAGAGUGGAUUACAAAGAUAAUCUACCCUAGAUCCUAUUCUAAAGCACAAUAGCAACAACAAGCACCUCCAUCUUUCCAUCAAACACUAGGAUUUGGAUUCUUCAAAGCUUGAACACACUUGAUUCAACACAAAUUCCCCAUGUUGGCUAUAAAUAUCAGAGAAAUCAUAGCAUAGAGGAAAUGAACACCUUUAAAAAAUGUUUCAGCUCAACAUUUGCCAAUAACAUAAUAAAAGAAAGUUAAAGAGACUUUUAGAGACAAACACACCUUGUUAUUCUUAAGUUAGAUCCAUUUACAAAUUUAUAUUUGAGAUCUGAUUUCAUUUAUUACUUGUGAAAUGCUAAUUUAUUAAAUGUUUAAUGAUAAACUAAUUUACUUUAUGUUACUUUACCUGUCAUUGAGUUAGUCCCACUUAGUCUUACCUAUUCCAAAUGAAUAAGCUCAUAAGUGAAUUGUACAAUAUGAAGUAUGAAACAACUAUUGACUUUUUAAGCAAUUUCUAAGUUGCUAAGUUAUCUUUUUGAAAAGAUUUUUGUAUAUUUCCUUUAGUAAACAUAUAUAUUUAGUUAUAUGGUUUAUUUUUAAUUUAGUUUUGUAGCAUUGAGUAAGGAACAUCAAUGUAUAAUAAAUACUAUAUUAUGUAGAUGCUCUUUUAUGUAAAUUUUAUUAUUCACAUAUGAGCUUAUUCAUUUGGAAUAGGUAAGACUAAGUGGGACUAACUCAAUGAGCUUAUUAUUUAUAUGAUGUCAAAAUAUUCUCUAGGACACCACAAAUUCUCCUUGCACUUUUUCUUUAGGAUUCUUCACAAAGAUGGCAUUUUCAUAAUCUUUUUUCCCUUAAUAAAAUUUUUAUUUUCUUUUUUCUACUUGUUCUUGCUUCUACAUUGUUUUCUUUGUUAAUGGAAUUGAAUGAACACCAUGGGACAUGUUUCUGCAACCAAAUCUUGUUCUUUCGUGGACUUUGACUUUUCCAGCACCUUUUGAGUUGAUAAAGAUUCACCCAUCCCCAUAAGGAUUAGAUCACAAACACACGUUACUAUUUCAUGAGUUAAUAUUUAGUUAUUUAUUUACAAUUGAUAUAUAAUUCUUUUAUUAAUUUCAAAACACCACGUUAUAAAGUGUGCCAUGACAAGUUAUUUAUUUUAAUUUUCUUGACCACUCACUAAUUUUAUCUCACAUAGUAUUGUGUAUUCUGGAUAAAUAGAUUCAAAAACAGAUGUUAUAAUGGUUCAUUAGAGAAGUUUUGGAAGCAACCUUUGGAGUUGCAUAUUUUAUCAUUUAUUUUGAAUCCUUAUAUAUUGUUUGCAUAAUUUUUAUAAAGAUUAUUUUAUGAAAACCCGUCCAGUAUCGAAACAUUCAGAUAAGAAGAUUAGAAGCAGGAAAAGGAUCUCAGAAGACUCUAAUCUCAUGGAGAAUUAAUUGUUGUAUGCUCUUCCAUUUUUAUCUAGUUUUAUAAACAUUAUACAGAGUAAUAUAUAGGCUUUAUUUUGGGUCAUUGUCUUGGGUCAUAUUUUGGACCAAUUUUCAUGGGCCAUGUAUUGGGCCAAUUAGAGUAGGGUGUAAAUAGAAAAAGAAAGUUUAACUAGAAUUACAAUUGGGCCUUCUUGGACCCAAUGCAACUCUAGAGCAUCUAGGGUACACAAAUAAAUUAUUAGAGUACAAAUAGAAAGCAUGGAGUGGCAAGGAAGGCAUGAAGGUCCACAUGUCACCUCCUUAAUGAAGAGGAUUCCCACCAAUGCCAAAAGGACAUUUGUCUUCAUGGGAAUGGAGAGGAUUCUCUCCAAUUAGAGAGAGUCACUUGUCCUUCUAUGAGUGGAGAGUUUUUAGGGUUAAAACUUUCACCUUGACUGCCCAUAACACUAUAAAUACAAGUGUUAGCCCCCUUGUAUUAGCUUUGAAUAAAUUAUUGAAUUGCUGCCAAAAUUUCAGCCUCAACUAGUCUCUUAGCUCACUCUUUGCUAACCUUAUUUCUAAGUGUUUUAACAAGGAACCUCUUAGGAGUUGGCCUAACCUCUCCCAAACUUCAUUAUCAUUCUCCAUACACUAAUACUUCAUAAUUUCUUUCACUCAUUUUAGUCACCCAAUUCAUCAAGUUACGCACUCCAAAAAUACAAAACAAAAGACUCAUAACAAUGCAAACUAGGAUUGCAUUAUUAUUUUUUAUUUUAUUAUAAUGGUUUAUUUUAGUUGACAUGUAUUGUUUAACUCAAAUACACUAGUGCAUGACUCUUACUCAUGUUAUCUAAAUAGUGUAUGUUUUGUCCAUAUCCUUUUUAUCUACUCGUAAUAACACAUCAACCAAAUUUUGAGAUAAGACGAGUUAACAAAUAAAUAGGACAACACACAAAAUUCAACAAUUGAAUAUGUUAUUUAAUUGAAUUAUAUACUUAAAUUAAUCUGAUUAUCUUAAUUGAUAUUUUAUUUUUAGGUAAUAAAUUAAUUAUAGUUAAUAUUAAUGAUUAAAAAAAACUAUUAAAAUGUCAAAGAUAUAAAAAUAUCAAAAGAUUUACCCAAUACUAAAAUAAGACAAACCAUUAUAUAUACUAAAAUUCAUUUUUAUAAAUGCAAUAUAAUUAAAAGUAGGAGAUAAAGGAAAAAAAAAAAAAAACCUCACAUCCAAUAACAUUAGGAGAUUCUUGAGAUUGCAUUUCACCUCCCUCUUUUUCUCUCUCAAUCUAUUUUUUUUAAUGUAUGGUAUGAUGCUUGUUAUCUCUUCAAAAGAAUUCCCAUUGCACUGUUCGAGAAAAAUAUGGUUUGUUGUUCAUUUGCAUGACUCCCGAAAGAGUUUUAAAUGUGAUUAAGUUAACAAAGUUAAAAAGAAACAAAACAAAUAAAGUGAAUCUAAAUACUUUUUAGCAAACCAAAAUAAUUGAUCCAAACUUGAAAUUAAAGUUGAGAAAAAUAGGUAGAACUAAAAUGCAGUUUUGUCUUCAUUGAUAACAUUAGAAGUAAAGAAGUAAAAAAUUGAAGCAGAAGAAUUUGCAAAAAGACAAAUUGAUGGUGUUGUUUGAAGGAGAAAGGUUGUGGUAGGGAGUGGGUGGAAUAAAAUAGGAGUAAAAAGAAGGAAGAUCUUGAACCUCUCCUGAACGAUAAGAGAAAUCCAAAAUCCUCUCACCACACCCAAUCGUUCUCUCUUCGUACUCCACGUCCACAUCUUUCUCCCUUCACCAAAUACAAAAUCAACAAAUCCCUUCUUUCACACUGCUUUUUCGUCACACUCACUCAAAUCAAACACUUUCUCUGCAAUGGCCUCAGCCGCAGCCCCCACCACUUUCUCUCUCCUCCACUCCGCCACCCCCGCCGCCUCCUCUUCCUCGCGCGUCCAGCUCUCCUCCUCCCUCCGCGUCCGCCCCCUCACCCGCCGUCUGGGCUUCACGGCCGCGGACCCGCUGCUGGCGGCGAAUGUGGCUGCGCGGGUGGCCGCGGUGAAGGUCGGGAGGGGCAGGAGAGGGGUGGUGUCGAUGGCCAAGAAGAGCGUGGGCGACCUGUCUGCGGCGGACUUGAAAGGAAAGAAGGUGUUCGUGAGGGCGGACCUCAACGUCCCGCUCGACGACAACCAGAACAUCACUGACGACACCAGAAUCCGCGCCGCCAUUCCCACCAUCAAAUACCUCAUCCAAAACGGCGCCAAAGUCAUCCUCUCUAGCCACUUGGUUUGUCUUCUCUCUUUCCUACGUUCGCUUCGGGCAUGGUUUGUCUUCUUCUUUUACUCUCCUAUAGAAGUUCCUCCUCAUCAAAAUUUAACGAGUCUCGCAAAAUUUGUACACAUCUCUUUACUUUUUCACUGUUAUUCGGUUAGAAUUAGAGAAUUCGAGUUCCAUCUAGAUCAGGGUAACAAGGAGUGACUAUAGUGGUGAAACUUCAAUUCUGAUUGGUUGAUCACUCAUGUAGUAGUACUUGUCGAAGUUUGUGGUACUAUGAAGUUUUAGCAAUACAUUACGGAAGCUACUUCUAUCUGACCAAAAAUUUUAAUAACUAAAGAAACUUAAGUGGCAUCUUGGAUCAUGUUGUAUAUUUGCUCCAAGAUUUUGAAAAGCAUGAUGCAAUUUCGGUCUCCUUAAGGCUUUUUGGUGUCUUGGUCUCCUUGAUUGCAGCUGCAUUUGUGAUGAGUGCAUGCAUAAAGGAUAAGAAAAGGAGAAUUGAGACUAAAAUAAUAAUUUUAUAUUUUUGUAUUUAUUUCUACGUUUUUGUAAUUAGAUACUUUUAUGGACUAGUUAUAUGACUUAUUGGAUGAGUGUAAUUAGUGGAUGAAUCCAGUAGUUUUGGUCUGAAGUAUAAAUAGGCUUAUGUUGACUUUUGUAUUAGAUUAAACUCAUGUUUUGAAUUGAAGCUUAUGCUUUGUGACUGAUAUAGGAUUUGAUUCUUAUCUUUUAAUUGUUAAUUCAAGGUGACGAUUAUUUUUCUCGACAUAUCACAUCUUUAUCUUCCGAUUUCCUUUCGUAUUUUCUAUUUUGUAAUCAUUUCGUAGAAAUUGCUGGAAACGGUGCAUUGCCUCUAAUCUUUAAUAGGCAUUCAUCAAUUUGUCUCCAAUUUCCCACUAUAGCAAUAAUUGUGAGGGAACUGCUCCUGCAAGUUAUAACCUUGUUGUGCUCAUUUUUUUGAGGGAAUUUAAGUGAUUUAUUUACUUCAAAGAGCUGUUUGUUUUUGAAUUUUUUUUUCUAAAAUCAGGUUUUAAGCAACUCGGUAUGUGGAUGAAGGGGGUUUUCGUGGAUUCUUUAAUUAUUGUCAAUUAUGCUGUAUUUGCCUUACCAUGUUUUAUAAUUACGAAGUUCAUUUAUUUGCUCUGUGUGUUGGGUCUGUGCUUAUGAAAGUGGAUUUUCUUAAAGAGUAUUAGGAGCAAAAGGGUGCUGCAUUUAGUAGAGAACAAUCCAAUUUCCUAUCAUAAUUGUGAAAUUUGUAGUCAGAAGAAAUGUUUUGGUAAUGUAGAUGUAGGCUGUCUUGAUACAAGUUUAAGAGUACAUUUGUGUGAACUAUUAUGGCUGCACUUGUAAGUUGAAUUGUUGUGAUUUUUUUAUGUAAUUUCCAGGGGCGACCAAAGGGUGUCACUCCCAAAUACAGCUUGGGGCCUCUUGUACCUCGGCUUUCUGAACUCAUUGGUUUCCCGGUAUGUUUAUGUUGAUCAUUGAGGAAUAUGUAUAAAGAGAUCUUUAAGUGUUGUAAUUUUCUUGGUAGUUAUGACAAUGUUCUUGACUUGUGUUUUGAUACGGAUAAUUUGCAGGUUGUCAAGGCUGAGGAUAGUAUUGGUCCAGAAGUGGAAAAGUUGGUGGCUUCUCUUCCAGAUGGAGGUGUUCUUCUUCUAGAAAAUGUGAGGUUUUACAAGGAGGAAGAAAAGAAUGAUCCUGAGCAUGCAAAAAAGCUUGCCUCUCUGGCAGAUCUGUUUGUGAAUGAUGCAUUUGGUACUGCUCAUAGGGCACAUGCAUCAACAGAGGGGGUUACUAAAUUCUUAAAGCCAUCUGUUGCUGGUUUUCUUUUGCAAAAGGUGUGUUUAUCACUUUGCUUUUGCUUAUCAAUUAUCAUCAGCUAAACCUAAAAUUCUGCAAACUCUCAAUAAAUCUUCUGAAAGUCUCAAUCCCACAUUACUACCAUUUUCAUUGAGAAUCAUGUUAUAAAAUUAUUAAGUUUGAUCACUUGAUGUAAAAUGAAACUUUAUAUAAAACAUCAAUUACUCUUCUAGGAGAAGUUAUUGUUUUUUUUAAAAUUUAUAUGUAUAUUUGAUCAAAAUAUGUUGUAAUAACUAUUUUCAUGUGCAUUGUUCAUUUGUUAGGAACUUGAUUACCUUGUUGGGGCAGUAUCAAGCCCAAAAAGACCAUUUGCCGCCAUUGUUGGUGGUUCCAAGGUCUCAUCUAAAAUUGGAGUGAUUGAGUCACUUUUAGAAAAGGUUGACAUCCUUCUUCUUGGUGGUGGAAUGAUCUUCACAUUUUACAAGGCACAAGGUCUUUCAGUCGGAUCUUCCCUUGUAGAGGAAGAUAAAUUGGAUCUUGCUACAACACUACUUGCAAAAGCCAAGGAAAAGGGGGUGUCUCUCUUGUUACCUAGUGAUGUGGUGAUUGCAGACAAAUUUGCUCCUGAUGCAAACAGCAAGGUUUGUUUUCUAAUUUCUAAGUUUCUUUAGCUAAAGGUAUCGGUCAAAAUUAAACCACUUAAAAUAUUAAUAAUAUUGCAAACACUUAUUUGUAAUAUUGUUCUUUAUUCAAUCUGAAUCAUUUGCAGCUAGUACUUACUUUCUUUGUUAACCUUUUAGGUCGUGCCAGCGUCUGCCAUCCCUGAUGGCUGGAUGGGAUUGGAUAUUGGUCCCGAUUCUGUUAAGUCAUUCAAUGAAGCAUUGGAUACUACCAAAACCAUCAUAUGGAAUGGACCAAUGGGAGUGUUUGAAUUUGACAAGUUUGCUGUUGGGACAGAGGUAUGCUGCGAGAACACACUCAUAAGGAGUUCUGUUCAAAUUAAAUGUUACAGCAAACAUGUUUGCUGUAAAUAUAAACAAUGUCCACUCAAACUGAUACGUAUAAUCUCAGAGAUAUGCAGUAGGAGUUAUUUUUCGUGAUGUGAUUCGUACAUCUCCGUAAACUAUAUGCUUUUCAUUUAUGAAAAUAAUGUGUCAGAUUAGGGGUGAUUCAAAUGUCUGCUAACAGAAUAAUCUAUUCUGUUUGACUAAUAAAUGUGUGCACUGUACAUAAUUUGCAUUUUGUACCCUUCUUUCAGGCUAUUGCCAAGAAGCUAGCUGAUCUCAGUGAAAAGGGGGUCACCACAAUUAUUGGAGGAGGAGAUUCUGUUGCAGCUGUGGAGAAAGUUGGAGUUGCCAAUGUCAUGAGUCACAUAUCUACUGGUGGUGGUGCCAGUUUGGAGUUAUUGGAAGGGAAAGAGCUUCCUGGAGUCGUUGCUCUUGAUGAAGCCACACCAGUCCCUGUGUAAGAUAAGUGUCAUCAUGGAAAUUUUUCCCAUCCCAGUUGUCAGUGUUGUCAAUCCUGUGAAAGAGCAUAUGUUGUAGGACCAUUCCGAGUCUGUUAGUGUAAAUUUAAUCAUGCUUGAGUUAUUGGCUUCACUCAUAAAUUGCGUGUAACUGUAAACACUGGCUGAGAGCCAUAAAUUCAAAAUAAAUCCUUGAGUUACUGGCAGCAGCAUUUUGCACUUUGAUUUGUCUUAUAUAACACUCGUGAGUGGUGCCAUUUGGUCACGUGCACAGUGUAAUAAGUCUUAAACAAUGACGAGGACUAUUGCAGGAACAGAAAAUGAAAGGUACGGUGCAAAAUUUGCUGCCAGUGUAAUCUAUUUUAAAUUAAAAUAAAUCUAUUAGUUACUGCCAGAAGUUUUUUGCACUUUGCUUCUUUUCUUAUGUCGCCCUCCAAAAUCCUUGAAUAUGAACCAAGUUUAUGUUGGCAUUGUAUGCAUGCCUUUAUUUUAGCUUCCAGAGGCGAAACUGUUUAUACCCAAUGACGUGACUUCAAUCUGUCAACAGAGAUUGUCACUAAUGAAUUCUUGUGAAUUUAGACCUUAUAGCCAAUGUUUAUUUCAGUUCAUUUAACUCCUACGAAGGGAUGGAUACGAGAAAAUUAGAGAGGAUUGUAAUGGUUUGUUUGAGUUGAUUUCCAAGAAGUGUCUAGGAAAGAAGUUCUGGGAGUUGCACUAGUGUUACUUUUUAUAGGUUGACACAUGCAUGCUCUCAGAACUGUACUAUAAUUUGAUUUAAUGUAUCUAAACAAUCGAUUGUGCAUGAUUUAUAAUUGAUUAUCUGGACAUUGAUAUAAUUAUCUCAGUUUGUGUUUUUUUUGUCUUGCUUAUCUUGUUUUAGUUUUGUUGUACCCAAUUCUUGAAUAAAUUUUGAUUGCAUUUAUAAGUGCAUUCUAUUCUAUUUUUAAGUCUGAAAAUAUUUUCAAUUCAAAAAAAGUUUUAAAACCAAUUCACUUCCUCUUGGUUUAAUCAAAUCAUUCUCUUUUCCUAACACUUAUGUUAUAGUUUGAUAAAUGUCUUACCCUCUUAUACUAUGAAUUUUUUUAUAUGAUUGAUAAUUUUGUUCUAAUUCAUGCUUUAGAUGACUAGUGUGGAUGAACAUGUAUUAUAAAAAAGAACUUCAUUUUCUUAAGCAUAAAUGUACCUACCAUCUAUAGCUAUCAUGCUUUAAGUUAUGUAUAAUAUAUACAAAGCAAUGGAAACUAGUUUCACUAUAAAAAAAAAAGAUUUUCAAGAGAAAAAGUUGAUACAACUCCAUUCCACAGAGACUUUGAGUCACUUUCUUAUUAUACAAAUUUAUGUUGGUGAUAUAACUUUUGGUGCUACUAGCAAACCUGGACAUUGUUAAAAAAAAUAUAAAAGGGGUUCAAUGAAAAUGAUGGGUGAACUUAAAGAUCUAAAAACUUUUGAAGAAUUUAAGUUGAAUGUGUAAAAUUAAAGUGUAGCACAUCAUAAGGAUCUUACAAUAUAUGAUUCUCACAUACUAUACAAUCAAUUAUAAUAGAGAUAGAUACCUAUCUUGAUCCAUGAGAGUUUCUAUGUGAGUAGUUUCUUCAAUCACUUUUUCUUAAUAUAUUUCUUGUGAUUCUUUUCUUGUCACACUCUUUCUUGAUGGUCUGCAGUGAGACAACCUCAUUUGCAAAGACAAAACCCUAUCUCCUUUAUGUUUCCCAAUCUCCAUCAAAUUAGUUUUUCAUCAAGUAUCAUAAGAUAUAUAUAACCUCUCAUAUUAACCAAUAUGUCAUUUUAUAUUAUUGAAUCACAUUCAAGUCCAAGGCCUAAAAUCUAUUUCACAUGAGUCACAUUAUAAUGUUAUAAAAUUUUCUAACAUUCUCCCACUUGACUCGUGUGGAGCUAUAAUACUUCAUGAUUUAAUAAUUACAUAAAUCAUAAUGCGCAUUAAAAUCCUUACAUAAAUUAGUUCUAUAAUCAUUAAUCAAAAUUAAGGAUACAUAAAUAAUAAGAGACAUGGCGAUUACAUGUCAUUUAAUCAACAUAUUUCCUUUCAUGUAUUACUAUAUCACCCUUUCUCUUUAAUAUGACUUUACAAAGAAAAAAAUCAUAAUUGGUUCAAACAUAAUGUCAUAUUCAAGAAUAACAUAAUUUGUUUUCCACAUCAUAAUUUGCACGCAUAUUCAUAAAGUGAAAAACAAAGAUUUCAUAAACAUGUAUAUCAAUGAGCUCAAAGUGUCAAAUAACCAUUAACAACAUUCAACAUACAUUAUUAAACAUAAUGUCCAUAUUCUCAACAUGACUAGUAAUUGUUUUGGACGAUAACCAUUUUGUUAAAGGGUCGACAAUCAUAAUAUUAGUGUUAAUAUGUUCUAUUGACACUCUAUAUUUCUAAACUUCUUCCUUAACGACAAAGUAUUUCAAUUCCAUAUGCUCAACACAUUUGGAAUACUUGUUGUUCUUAGAAAAGAAAACAAUUGGUUGCAGACAAUAAAUCAUCAGCGUCUUGGAAAUACUGUUAAAUACUCCAAGUUUUGAGAUAAAAAUCCGUAACCAAUUAGUUUGAACUAUGGCCUUAAAGCAUGUCACAAAUUCAGCUUCCAUAGUGGAUGCAGUAAGGAUUGACUGCUUCACACUUUUCCAUUAAACCAUUCAUCCGGCUAAAAGAUAGAGAUAACUAAAUGUAGACUUUCUUGUAUCCAUAUAACCAACAAAAUCUGAAUUUCUAUAUCCAAUCACCUAAAGAUGAUCAUAUCUCCCAUAAGUAAGCAUGCGAUUCUUUGUCCCUUGUAAGUAUCUUAAGACUUUCUUUGCAACUUUCCAAUAAUCCAAUUCUGGAUUACUAUGGUAUCUACUAAGCAUACCAAUGACAAAACUAAAAUAUGACCUUGUACAUGCUUGAGCAUACAUUAAACUCCCAACAACAUAUGCAUAAGGGAUAUUCUUCAUCUGUUUUCAUUCCAAAUCAUUCUUUAGACAUUAUGAGACUAAAUUGUCUCCAUUUUGUAUUGGAAUGAGAGAUGUUAAACAUUUAUUCAUUCUAAAUCUUUCUAAAACUUUAUUAAUAUAUUCUUUUUGAGACAAGCCUAUCAAUCAUUGUGAUCUAUCACAUAAUAUUUCAUUCCUAUCAUAGUAUGUCCCACAUAUAUAUUUCAUUUCAAAGUUGUUAGAGAUAAACUUCUUAGUCUCACUUAAUAGAUUAAGAUUAUUAGCUACAAGCAAGAUAUAGAAUCAUAAAUAUAAAUUUGCUCCCAUUGACCUUCAGAUAUAUACACUGAUCAAUCAUGUUUUUCUUAAAUUCAAAGGACAUAAUAGCAUCAUUGAACUUUAGAUACCAUUGUCUGGAAUCUUGUUUAAGUCCAUAUAUUAUUUUUUUAAGUUUACACACCAUGUAUUUCUUUCAUUCUUCAAUGAACCCCACUAGUUGGUCCACAUAAACAUCAUCUUCUAAAUUCCCGUUCAAAAAGGCAUUGUUAACAUCUAUCUUGCGCAACUCAAGAUCAUAAUGAGUUACUUAUGUCAUGAUUAUUUUGAAGGAAUCUUUCUUAGAAACAAGAAAAAAUGUUUCCUUAUAGUCAAUGUCAUUCUUUUGAGUAAAACAUUUGGCAACAAGUCAGACCUUGUAACAUUCAAUCACGUUUAGUCUUAAAGACCCAUUUACAUCUAACUCCCUUGCAUCCUUCUAAACAUUUCAUAAGGUCUCAUACAUCAUUUUGUGUCAUUGAUUUAGGCUCAUCUUUAAUUGCAUUUAACCAUUUAUCAUAAUUAUCACCAUUAAUCGCUUUUAAAAAUGAAUCUAGAUUAUUAUCAAUGCCUAAGUCAUUUUUUGACUCUUGUAAAUAAACCACAUAAUCAUUCUAAAUAGCAGAUCUUAACAUUAUUUAUUCUGAUUGUUCGACUACAUGUUCACUGUUAGUCUCGGGAUCAUUAAUUUGUUCUUCUUCGCCAUCAUUGUGUGAUUCGCAACAUGAGGAAUGACAAUUCUUGAAGUAGAGGUACUAGUUAAAGGAACUUGUACUUUAACUUCCUUAAUCUCCACAUUUCGUGAAGCUUCACUCCCACUGAUUUCACCAUUCUCAAUGAACCAGACAUUUUUAGUUUCAACAAUACUUGUACUACGGGUAAGACAGUAAAACAUAUACUCUUUUGACUUUACUAGAUAGCCAAUUAAAUGUCCAUUAAUUGUUCUGGCAUCUAGUUUCGUUUCUUGUGGAUUAUAUAUUCUAAUUUAUGUCUGAAAACCCAAAACAUGAAGUGUCUCAAAUUGGAUUUUCCGCCUAUCCACAAUUUGUCUUUUGAACUGCCUUUCUAAGAACCUUGUUCAACAAAUACAUUGCAGUUUUUAAAGCAUACAUUCACAAUGAUUAAGGUUCGAUUAUGUCUUUCUUACACACCAUUUUGUUGUGGUGUAUUUGGCAUUGUGUAUUGAGCACAAAUACCUCAUUUCUCAAGGAACUUAGCAAAUGGACCAGAGUCUUGUCCACUUUCAUCAUACUUUCCAUAAUAUUCAUCACCUUUAUUUGACCUAAAAAUUUUCACCUUUCUAUCUAUUUAUCUUUCCACUUUAUUUAUAUAAAUAUCCAAAGCAUUCACAUACAUUUAAAUCAGUAAAACCUAAAUUUGAAAGUAUAUCAUUCUUUAUUGAUCUAUGCACCCUUUCUUUGGAAAUAUGUCUCAAACGCUUAUGCCACAAGUAAGCAGAAGAUUCAUUCACUAAAAUAUGCUUAGUGUCAACAUUAUGAUGCAAUGUCAUAAGAGUUUCAGCAUAUAAAUUAUCAAGAUUCAAUUUAUAUAAACCAUCAUAAAGUGUACUAAAUGCAACAAUACAAGUACACUUAUACAAACUGAAACAAUCAUUCCCAAACUUAGAAUAGUAUCCAACAACAUCAAGUUUAGACAAAAAAAAAACUAAAUUCUAAAAAUACUAGGUACAUAAAAGUAUCAAACAAUUUUAAAUAAAAUCUAUUGUCAAGGAUUAAAUGAUAAGUCCCGACAGCUUCUACUGGAACUUUCACUCAAUUCCCUAUGGAGACAAACUCCUCAUUCGGGUUGAAAGGAAUCAUUGCAUUGUAUUAGAAACAUGAGUUAUACAUCCAGAAUCAAUCCACCAAGUAUUAUGUGGAACUUCAGUUAUGUUUGAUUCAAAACAUACAUAAGCAUUAUGCUCACCUUUCUUUUCGAACCAAAUUUUAUGUUUUAGGGUAGUACUUCUGUAAAUGUCCAGAAUUCUCACAUAAAUGACAUUUAUCAUUUUUUUCUAGAUUUUAGUAGAGGAUGCAUUAAACUUUAGUGGUUUUUUUAGUCUUUCCACAUUACCUAUGAACUUUCUUUUCAACUUCUUGAUUAUUUACAUAAUGAAUGAGGUUACUUCUUUGAUUCUUAAGUCUGGUCUCUUUUUGAACUAUCAUACUAUGCAAUUCAUGCACAUUCCAUUUGUCUUUUAUUUUAUUAUAGUUCAUUUGAAAAAGACCAUACUCAAACGAUAAUUAGUUCAAGAUGAACUGCACAAGAAAAGCUUUAUUCACUGCCAUUUCAUGAUACUUAAGUUUUUCUGCAAUAUUUGUCAUCUUAAUGACAUGCUCGUGCAUAGUACUAGAACUAUCAAAUUUCAUGGUAGUUAAGGUACUCAUUAAUGUUCUGACAAAGACUCAUUAGUAGUUUAAAAGCGUUCUUCCACAAAUCUCAAAUUCUUUUGCACUUUUAGUUUUGGGAAGAAUAAACUUAAUAUUAUUUGCUAUGCUCAUUUGCAUAAACAUCACGCUAAGUCUGUUUGACCUUUUCCAAGUCCUAUAAUGAGCUUUCUCUUUAAUGCUACUAGCAUUAGUAAUAUCAACAUGUUUCUCAACUUCAAAGGUCAAAUCAAGAUCCAACACACCUAAGUAAAAUUGAACUUGUUCACUACAAUCAGGAAAAUUCAAUCUAUUAAAGAUCAAAACAAACUUACCAUGUAAAUGUAAAGACACGGGAACAAAUACUUCAAUUAACACAUGCUUAACAUUAAUACUUUGAGUCAUAAACCAAACAUAUAAUAUAGAUUCUAAUUACAAACAAACAUACUAUGUAUACUAAUGUUCUCCUUUGGGUGAUACAUUAAUACACAAAAUAAAAUAAUGCUAAUAAGAUUAACAUUAUUUGGAAGGACAUAUGCAUUAACUAUAAAUACUUAUUAUCUUUGGAUAUACAUAUAAAAAUAAUAAUUCAUACUCGCUAUCAACAAUCAUAACCAUUAAUUAUAAGAACAAUUAAUUAACCUUUGAGUGAUCCACAAAUGUCUUAUAACAAUGAACUUCAAUUAACCCAUAAAUCAAUCAUUUAACAUCAAUUCUAUAGGUAAUUGAAAUAGAAUUAAUUACUAAUUUGUAAUUAAAUAAAACAUAAAUAUUUGAUCACUUUGGUGAUUACAAAUCUAUCAUACAAAUAAUUUCAUAAAUAAUAUAUUAAUUAAAAUAAAAUUCAUAACUAAUUUGAAAUUAAAAAAAACAGAUAUUUGAUUGCUUUGACGAUUACAAAUAUAUCAUACAAAUAAUUCAAGAAAUAAUAUAUUAAUUAAAAUAAAAUUCAUCACUAUUUUAAAAUUAAAAAAACAAAUAUUUGGUCACUUUGGCGAUUACAAUGCUAUCAUACAAAUAGUUUUAGAAAUAAUAUCAUUCACUAACUUUGGAAUUAAAAAAAAAACAUAAAGACUUGACCACUUUGGUAACUACAAAUCUAUUAUACAAUUACUUUCAGAAAUAAUAUUAUUCAUCAACAAAAUAUAAAAAUAUACAUUUAUGUCAUUACUUUUAUUUAUCAUAAUAUUUUCAUCUUGCAUUCAAAUAAAGCAAAAUCAAUUUAUAACAUAACAGAAAUAAAAGGAUAAAUUAAACUUUAAAAUUUAUCCUCAAAAGAUAUUACUUUCUUUGCGAUAUUCAUAAUUUUAAAAGUAGGUUUCAUAAAAUUGUGAAAAACAUCAUUCAUGAAUAAUCAUAAAUUUGAACAACCAUGCUCUAAUACCACACGGAAAAUAAGCAUAUAAUGAUGAAAAAUAAUGGACAUCUUAAGGAUCGUACAAUAUGAUUCUAAGAUACCAUACAUUCAAUUAUAAUAGAGACAAACACUUUCCUUUAUCCAUGAGAGUCCCUAUGUAAAUAGUUUCUUCAAUCACCUUUUCUCAAUCUAUCUCUUUAAUGAACAUAAAUUUAUUUACACUUAUUACUUUAAUCAUAAAUUAUUGGAAUGUAAUAAUAAAUAAUUCCUUUGUUUUAAUUAAUAUUCUUUUAGUUGAGUUUAUUUGGGCCUUAAUUAUUAUUUAUAUUAAUUAUGUAUUUUUAACGCAAGUUGCUUCUUUUGAAUCAAAACAGGAAACCGAAUCUGAAAUGAAGAAUUAGAUAAUUAAAUUUGCAAAUAUCCCAAAAAAGGAACUGAAUGCAUUUCUGCAAGGAUAUUCUCUAAAAAUCUUGCACUUAAAAUUCCUCUCCAAAAUCCUUCAAAAAUAGAGCAAAUAUACUUUGAUAAUAUUAUUUAAGAAAAUAUUUUACAAUACCUCUCCCAGCAGUUCUGCUGGAAUCAAUUACAGUCAAUGUACAAAUCUGAAAAAAAAAAUUAGAAACAAUAUAUAUGAAAAAGAAACGAGAAAAAAAUUUGACACUAUUUGGAAAUGAAGAUAUAUGUAUAAUAAUUUGGAACAGGAAAAUAAAUAUCUGAUAAUUGUAAAACAAUAACAUAAGGCAUAUUUUUAAUCUGAUUUUGUACAAGGAGAAGAAGAUUAUAAAAAAGACCUCAGAGGAAGGAAGAGGGAGCUUUUAGGGAUCGCGUUUCAGGAAGUUUCAUAGGGUUUUCUUAGUUUCUUUUCUUCUUUUUAAUUCUUUUGUUUUGCCUCCGCAUGGAAGACUAAGCCUUUUUGGUUGAUUUCUUUGUAAUUUUCCAUUGAGUUCUGAGGUUUUGAUCAAUAAAAGUUUUGUUUUUUAAUUCUUUAUAGCACUUGUUUUAAUUUCUAAUCUCCUAGAAAAAAACUAGUUGUUGUGAGAGGUUGUACUUGAACGCAUGAUUGAAGUCUUCCUUAUCUUAAACUUUGAUCUCUUAGUUAGUUUGCAUUGUUCUAAUUAGUUUCUUGAGCGCAUGAUUCAAGAGAGAGGAGAUAAACAUUCCCAUGGAGUAUACGCAAGGAACAAAGUGGGUAUUGAUUAAACUAGUAGACGCAUGCUUUAAUAGUGAGUUUAAGUUGAAUCAGAUUGACGCAUGUUCAAUCUAGUUUAGCUCUAUGUGAGAAUUGAAGGAUGAUAAUCUUUAUAUGACCUAUGCAAAAUUCAUUGGUGGAAGAACUUGGGGAUCAACCGUUUUUUAUUUGUUGUUUUAAUCUUUUUUAUAUUUUUUGCAACUACUUUAACUCCUUUUUUAUUGUUAUUGUUAUUGCUAACUUUUAUUGCUUGUAGAUAUAUUCUAAAUACUAAUUUAUUGAUUUCACUAUUGGAUUCGUUGGGAGACGAUUAGAGGUCAUCUGACCACUUCUAUGCUAUCAUCUCUCUAGCGUUAGACAGGUUUACGCUAAAGUCCUCUUAAUUUGACAUCAAAACAACAAGUAUCACUCUUGCAAUUAUUUUGUUGUCACACUCUCUCUUAAUGACAUACAAUGAAACAACCUCAUUUGUAGAGACAUGACCCUAUUUCCUUUAUGUUUCCAGUCUCUAUCAAAUUAGUUUUUCAUCAAGUAUAUUAUUAAAUCACAUUCAGGUUCAAUGCCCAAAAUCUAUUUCACAUUAGUUCAUUCUAAUGUUACCUAAUUUUUUAAUAGAAUGAUAUCAAAGAAAUGAAGGGGGCUGUGUAUCUAACCAUUUCACAAAUGACUAGACGAGAAAUUGAUUUAACAAUUUUUAAAAGAAUUUUUAAUGUAAUUGGUUUUGCUAUAAGCAUAAGGAAACUUUAAGGAUGCAUUGCUUUUGUGAUGGUGACUAUGCUGGAAACUAGGUGGAGAGUGCCCCCUUUAUGAAAGGAAACCAAAUUUCAAAUUUCCUGAGUCAACAAGAAGAAAGGAACCAUUGCACUAUUAAAUGCAAAAGUGAAAUAUAAUAUGAAGUGGAAGUUGUUGCACUCAGCUCCUCUGAGUAUCACUCUAAUAUCUCAGAGUAAAUUUAUUUCACUACUAUGGAAUGAAAAGGUUAGUGUGAAGUCUUUCACCCUUGGUUGGUUGGUGAUGAAGUGUUAUCCUUGUGAUCACAAAUCACGUAUGUGGAGAAGAAGGCAUUGAAUGAUUGAAAAAGACUAAUCUAUCGACUAGCUGUCACACAGCCUUGAACUAGUGUUCUCUUGUUUCAUUAUUUUCUGUCAAACACAUCCUAUGCCACAAAAUUGAAGCAUCUAUCUUUUUCCAAGCCAUGGGCCUCCCACAUUAAGAUAUUUACUAAAGGAACUACAAAACAAAAACACAUCUCAUAAUACAUGCCCACCACCAAGUUCUAAUGCCAAUUUCCUGGUUUUGCUUAUUCUCUUCAGGAUCAAUUUUAUUCAUUGAAAUAAUUAAUCACCCUCUUGUGAUUGUAGGAAUCGGAAUCUAAAACCUCCAACAUGGUCCUUUGGAAAAUUAAUAUUGCAAAUAUAGGUAUGAAGUAAACUAUAUUGUUUUAAUAAAUUAAAAAAUUCCAAAUAUAAGAAUAAAAGAACAUGUAUAUAAUCUUUUUGUACCCAAUUUUUUUUAAAAAAAACAUACAUUACUUAUUUUAUAUUUGAUCGAUGUAAAUGUUCUCUAUCAACAGAAACAGUACCUACGCAGUUCUUUUUCAUCCAAAGUACAAUCUCUUCAAUGAAUUACACAUCUGCAUUUGACUUAUGUCCAACUACGAAAACUUGUAGGCACAUAAAUUUCAAACUUAACCAACCUCAUUCAUAAACAUAUCAAAUAAAAAGAAUUGCAAGGAAAAUAACACCAAGAUUGGCCGAUCAGAAAACCAAAGGAACAGAUCCAAGAAUCCUUCGGAAAUAAUCAUUGCUCAAAAUCAUCUAAGAUCAAAGUUCAAUCGAACACCAUAGACCCCACAAUCAUGAACAUAUUCAUAUUAGUUAUCCUCAAAUCCAAUCCGUUCAAAUAUUCUGUCAAUAUAGACAAUACCCAUACAAGUUUAUUUUUUAUCCUAAGUACAAUCUCUACCAUAAAUUAUAGAUUUGCAUUUAACUUUAGUCCAAUGAAGAGCUAUAUGCAGAUCUAUAU
rnacentral:lncRNA from 1 species